ensembl:lncRNA
CCAGGAGACACCUUCUCUGUUGAUUAGGGACGGUGUCAACCAGGAGCUGACUUUGGGCCAGGGGAUCUUCCCGACCCAGAGAUUGAACCCAGGUCUCCCGCAUUGGAGGCAGACGCUUUAACCUGAAAGAUUUGGCUCCUGAUAUGCAUUACCAAGGCUUUCCUUGAAGAAAGAACAGGUACUUCAGGGCCAGAAGGGUCUGGAGAGAUCAGCUUUUCUGCCUUCCCAUCAGUCCUGCCUCCAUCUGCUCUUCGGAUUCAAGCCUGGGAGACAGCUUCUCAAGAGACCCUGAGAAAACCGCUCCAAGGAGGCGGGGAGUGUGGAGCAGUCAGGAUAUACAGACUUCUUCUUCCCUGGCUGUAAGGGGGUCUGCACAUGGCCUUCCAUGGUUGCAGACCCUGAACUGAAAUUGCCUACUGAGUCUGAAUAAACCCAUCUCUGCUGGAGACACAUCCAGCAGUCUAUUUGUGUGAGGCCAGCACUUGCAUCAAGCUUGCUUUCCUCGAGUCAAUCACCCUCAGAAGCUGCAAGCAGCUGUUUGCAGGAAACCAGCCUCAGCAGGAAGCCCGUUUUCUUGUCACUUGAGCGUGAAGCUACAUUGGAACUAACUUGUAAACCAUGCUCUUCUCUUCUCUGGCCCAAGCACAGUUUUAAAAACUUUCAAUCACACAAUACCUUGUCUAAUUUGCUGGUUCUUUCUGUAAGAUCAACGGAGUAGAAAUGAAGAAUUAAUAAUUAACAGAUGACCAGAUCUUUACUCUGGCUUCCCCUCCAAUAAUCUCUCCAACAAACUGGGUGAACAAGAUAACAUCUACAGGAUGACCAUGAGGAGUGGACAGUCCUGCACACAGUGGGUGGUGACAACUCUGACCCUCCUCCAAUCUCAAUGAUUACCUGAGGCGACUUCCCUUUUCCCCUUUAAAAACUCUCAUGGCCGAACAGAGCCUUCACAGCUGGUUUUUGGGAAGCAGUGAGUCUACUCCACCGUCUCCCCAGGUGCCAGCAUUCUGAUUAAAGUCAUUUUCCCUUCUGCCAUUUGUGAGUAUGUAAUUGGCUUUGUAAAAAGUGAGCAAUGGGACCUGAUUCAUUUGGUAACACAGCUAAAACACUAAAAACGGUUAUUAUUAUGAAACCUAUCACAUAGGUUUUUAUCAUAUGAAAGACAGCAUAUAUGAUUUAAAGAAUAAUCAUAAAAUGAACACCCCUAGUCACCCUCCAGCUUAAGAAAUAGAAUUUACCAGCAUUCUAGACAUCCCCUAUAUUUCUUCCCAAAUUGCAUUUCCCUGUCUCCCCUCAGAGGUAACCUGCAUCCUGAAUUUUGUGCUAAUCAUUUUUAAAGUAUCCCUAAAUAAUACAUCAAUUAGUAUUGUGUGUUUUGGACUUAAUCAUUCUUCUAUGAACUACUUCAUUUCUCAAACUUAUGUUUUUGAGAUUCAGACAUGGUGAUUCAUCUGAAAGCUUAAGUGAGCUCAUGUCCUUCACCUGUUCAAACACUCUCAGUGGCUGCCCAAGACAGUUAGGAACUAAAUGCAGCCCCCUUUCUUUCCUCAGAAGGUCCUACAAGACUGGCUCUUGCUUGUUCCCCUGCCGCAUCUCUCCUGCCGCAUCUCCUUGUUUGCUCUGCUCCAGCUGCGCUGACUUCUUGGUUCUCAGGUAUGCUGGCAUGGCUCUGUUCCAGGAAGCGGGAUCCCUUCCGGGGCCCACGAGUGGGCUCCUGUCUAACACUCGGAAAUGAAUUGUCUGAGGAGACACACCCACCGACACGGAAAGAGAUUUUCCUGGGGAGGGCGCCAGGAGGGUAAGGGGGCCCAGGAGGAGUGCUCUGCCCCGUGACUUGCAGUCUUGGGCUUAUGGCGAUGGGAUUAGUUUCCAGGUUGUCUCUGGCCAGUCACUCUGACUCCGAGUCCUUUCUGGUGGUGCACGCACUCGAGUGAGGAGGAUUCUGGGAGGUUGGUAGGACACGUGGUGUCUCCUUUUGACCUUUCCUGAAUUCUUCCCUUGUUUUGGCUUGUUAUUUCUAUGUUCCUCACCAGGACCUCCUGUCAUAAAACAACUAACGCAAAUGGUUAUUAUUGUGCCUGGUGGUUC